rnacentral:rRNA from 1 species
AUUGAACGCUGGCGGCAGGCCUAACACAUGCAAGUCGAGCGAGCGGCGGACGGGUGAGUGAUGUCUGUGAGACUGCCUGAUGGAGGGGGGUAACUACUGGAGACGGUAGCUAAUACCGCAUACCCUCAGAUGUGCCCAGAUGGGAUUAGCUAGUAGGGGGGGGAAUGGCUCACCUAGUGGACGAUCCCUAGCUGGUCUGAGAGGAUGACCAGCCACACUGGAACUGAGACACGGUCCAGACUCCUACGGGAGGCAGCAGUGGGGAAUAUUGCACAAUGGGCGCAAGCCUGAUGCAGCCAUGCCGCGUGUAUGAAGAAGGCCUUCGGGUUGUAAAGUACUUUCAGCGGGGAGGCGUUACUCGCAGAAGAAGCACCGGCUAACUCCGUGCCAGCAGCCGCGGUAAUUC